rnacentral:rRNA from 1 species
UACCAGCACCCCGAGUGGUUGGGACGAUUAUUGGGCCUAAAGCAUCCGUAGCCGGUCCUACAAGUCUUCCGUUAAAUCCACCUGCUUAACAGAUGGGCUGCGGAAGAUACUAUAGGGCUAGGAGGCGGGAGAGGCAAGCGGUACUCAGUGGGUAGGGGUAAAAUCCUCUGAUCCAUUGAAGGCCACCAGUGGCGAAGGCGGCUUGCCAGAACGCGCUCGACGGUGAGGGAUGAAAGCUGGGGGAGCAAACCGG